rnacentral:tRNA from 1 species
GGAGAGGUGGCAGAGUGGUUGAAUGCACCGCACUCGAAAUGCGGCAUAGGGGUAACCCUAUCGGGAGUUCGAAUCUCCCCCUCUCCG